rnacentral:rRNA from 1 species
GAUGAACGCUAGCGGCAGGCCUAACACAUGCAAGUCGAGGGGGAGGUUACUUUCGGGUAACUGAGACCGGCGUACGGGUGCGUAACGCGUAUACAAUCUGCCUUUCACUGGGGGAUAGCCCGAAGAAAUUUGGAUUAAUACCCCAUAGUAUAGUAAUACGGCAUCGUGAUGCUAUUAAAGCUUAGGUGGUGAAAGAUGAGUAUGCGUUCUAUUAGCUAGUUGGAGAGGUAACGGCUCCCCAAGGCGAUGAUAGAUAGGGGUUCUGAGAGGGAUGUCCCCCACACUGGUACUGAGAUACGGACCAGACUCCUACGGGAGGCAGCAGUGAGGAAUAUUGGACAAUGGUCGGAAGACUGAUCCAGCCGUGCCGCGUGCAGGAUGAAGGUCUUAUGGAUUGUAAACUGCUUUUGUAAGGGAAGAAUAAGGGCUACGCGUAGUUUGAUGACGGUACCUUACGAAUAAGCAUCGGCUAACUCCGUG